GGGAGUCGGACAUGGUGUCAGUUUGUGUCUUUACCUCUCUGAGUUGGUAAAACAUGCACAUUCUCUAAUGAAAGCUGCCCUAUAAACACAAAGUAUUCCUGUGACUUGGGUUCGCUUUUGGUCCCAGAUCCCACACGGCAGUGCCGUCGCUGAUGAGUUGAACGCAUUUUUUCCUCGAACAUGGGACAGGCCAAGAACAUCUGGCUC
rnacentral:lncRNA from 1 species